rnacentral:SRP_RNA from 1 species
GCCGGGCAUGGUGGCUCAUGCCUGUAAUCCCAGCACUUUGGGAGGCUGAGGCAGGUGGAUCACCUGAGGUCAGGAGUUCAAGGCCAGCCUGGCCAACAUGGUGAAAUCCUGUCUUUA